GGAUUUACGUAAAACACCACCCCCUGCCAUCUCCACGGCGACUGAGGACACAAAAAGAGACCCUGUUGCAGCUGGUCUCUGGCAACCGAGAGGGAGGAGGGAAAAAAGCGUUGAAUGAGUGCUCAGAUGUACAGACACUGAGGGGGAGUACGCGCAGCAGUGAAAGAGUCAUUUUGGAAAGAAGUGUAGGAGGUAAAAAAGGGGGAGAGGCCAGUGAGAAAGAGGGAGGAGAGAGGACGCACACACAAGUAGCGAGAAAAGGAGUGAAAAGUGGACAUCGCACUUGGAGGAAGAGUUCAUGCAAUAAUCCAGAAAGGCUGCUGACCUUCUGAAAGUGUCAAACAUUCAGCUGCAGUCUCAACUGGACUAAAGACAAACGGGAGGAGCAAGAAGAGGGGGAAGGUGAAGUGCUGAAGCAGAGGUCUGCAAAAUAUAUGAAGGUCAAGUUUAUGUGCAACGCAGUUUGGCAGGACUGGAAACUGUUUCCAGCUGUGAUUUUAACAACAGAUGAGUCAGCAGCAGCCCUGUCUCCCCAUAAAUGUACCCCUCCCUGUCCCAGGAAAGAAGAUUUGAAUGAGUUCUAUUUCAUUCCCAUAAAGAGCAAGCACAAAGUCUGUUUUGAGCAUACCUCCGUGUGCAUUUGAGGACC